rnacentral:sRNA from 1 species
CCGGGUGUUAACUCCCUGCUGGCGCUUUGGCAAAAACCCCGUGCCAGCGUCCACCUGAAAUUGGGAUAUAGGUUUACAUAACUGCGCACGCACGAGGGGAAGGGGAAGAAAGGUUGGAACUAGUCUCCACAGGUGGUUUGAGCCAUAUUCUAUUUGGGGUCCCUUGUAUCACAAUAUCAACCUGCUGAGCAUGGCGGGGUAUGGAGUAAGGACGAGGAGGAGGUUCAUCACGUCACGCCCUUUUUCCUGUUUGCUUGGUCUUUUUUGACGCCAUGGUUAUACCCUGGAAGGGUAAACAGUUAGAAACCGGGAGUUACAUGGAUUCGCUGAGGAGCUCCUUUGUAGACGUUAACAACGUCCAACAGUAAAUGCUCAAAACGCAUGAAAGUAAAACCCAUUAAAUAAUGGAAAUAAAAUUCAAAAACAAGAAC